CAUGUGCUGCAGUCACACCUCUGAGUACAGUGUAGAUAUACCUAUCCUUUGAGUGCAACAGAAUUGUAUUAGUUCAUAAUCAACUUGGCUGUGCUCUAGAAUGUUUAUCUUUGCAAUCAUAAGCCCUAUGGAGAAAAGACGGAGGAAAUGUUGAAAAUGAGUGCUCCUUAGAACACCUCAGGCCUCAGGCAGGGCCUACCUGAAAUCUCAGCAAAGCAAAUGGCUGUAUGGCUCCCCAUAGCUCUUCAGACUCUGAUCUGACAUAUUUUAGGGUGUGUGACCAAAAGGCCUGUCAGCUAGCUUAAUUUAUGAUGGAUUGACCUUCACAUUCUAGGAGACUUGUUUAACUUGGCCCCUGUCCACCCAACCACAUGCUAAGCAAAAUGAGUGCAUUACCAGGCAAGGAGCUACUUCCCCGAUAAAGAGGAAAGAUGAAGUAAUACUGAGGCUACCUGAGCACUAUAUCACUGUUUGAUAAUGUGGAAAAAAUAAAUAAAGGAACAUAAGGGCAAGAUAAUAAGACUUAAUUGAAGGAGAAUGUAACUAAUAGCUCUGUAGCGCUAUACACAUUAUUAAAUAAUAGUAAUCCAGUAUGCUAAAUCUUUACAGACAAUCCAGCAGAGAAGGUCUCUGCCUCAAAGAGAUUACAGUCUAACACUCCC